UGCAAGUCGAGGGGUAACAUAAAGUGCUUGCACUUUGAUGACGACCGGCGCACGGGUGAGUAACGCGUAUACAAUCUGCCUCAUACUAGGGGAUAGCCCAGAGAAAUUUGGAUUAAUACCCUAUAGUAUCAUUUAGAGUCAUCUCUUUAUGAUUAAAGGUUACGGUAUGAGAUGAGUAUGCGUUCUAUUAGUUAGUAGGUGAGGUAACGGCUCACCUAGACCACGAUAGAUAGGGGCCCUGAGAGGGGGAUCCCCCACACUGGUACUGAGACACGGACCAGACUCCUACGGGAGGCAGCAGUGAGGAAUAUUAGACAAUGGGCGAAAGCCUGAUCUAGCCAUGCCGCGUGCAGGAUGACGGCCCUAUGGGUUGUAAACUGCUUUUAUACAGGAAGAAAAAACUCUACGUGUAGAGUCUUGACGGUACUGUAAGAAUAAGGAUCGGCUAACUCCGUGCCAGCAGCCGCGGUAAUACGGAGGAUCCAAGCGUUAUCCGGAAUUAUUGGGUUUAAAGGGUCCGUAGGUGGACAAUUAAGUCAGAGGUGAAAUCCUGCAGCUCAACUGUAGAAUCGCCUUUGAAACUGGUUGUCUUGAGUCAUUAUGAAGUGGUUAGAAUGUGUAGUGUAGCGGUGAAAUGCAUAGAUAUUACACAGAAUACCAAUUGCGAAGGCAGAUCACUAAUAAUGUACUGACACUGAUGGACGAAAGCGUGGGUAGCGAACAGGAUUAGAUACCCUGGUAGUCCACGCCGUAAACGAUGGUCACUAGCUGUUCGGACUUCGGUCUGAGUGGCUAAGCGAAAGUGAUAAGUGACC
rnacentral:rRNA from 1 species